AGACGAACCGUCCAAACGUUAUUCGGAAUCACUGGGCUUAAAGGGUGCGUAGGCGGCGCGGAAAGUUGGGUGUGAAAUACCUCGGCUCAACCGAGGAACUGCGCCCAAAACUUCCGUGCUCGAGGGAGAUAGAGGUGAGCGGAACUUAGGGUGGAGCGGUGAAAUGCGUUGAUAUCCUAAGGAACACCGGUGGCGAAGGCGGCUCACUGGAUCUCUUCUGACGCUGAGGCACGAAAGCUAGGGUAGCGAACGGGAUUAGAUACCCCAGUAGUCC
rnacentral:rRNA from 1 species